UUCGUAGUGGACGUCCUCGGUGCUUCCCUGACGGGAAGUGAAACGGGAAUGCGGUGCGCGCCCUCCAGCGGGCGCAAUGCCGCGGCUGCCCCCGCAACUGUAAGCGGAUAGCGCUCUUCGACACACCACUGGCCACGACCGGCCGGGAAGGGGAAGCGGCGCGUCACCCGCGAGCCAGGAGACCGGCCGAGGAUCGCAUGCAACCC
rnacentral:ncRNA from 1 species